rnacentral:rRNA from 1 species
CCUACGGGGGGCUGCAGUGGGGAAUAUUGGGCAAUGGGCGAAAGCCUGACCCAGCGACGCCGCGUGGGCGAUGAAGGCCUUCGGGUUGUAAAGCCCUGUCAUGCGGAAAGAACGACCCUGUGACGCAUACUCACAGGGAGUGACGGUCCCGCAGGAGGAAGCACCGGCUAACUCCGUGCCAGCAGCCGCGGUAAUACGGAGGGUGCAAGCGUUGUUCGGGAGUGCGUAGGCUGUAAGGCGCGUCAGAUGUGAAAUACUCCGGCUCAACUGGGGAACUGCAUCUGAAACUGCAUAACUAGAGUACAGAAGAGGGAAACGGAAUUCCCGGUGUAGAGGUGAAAUUCGUAGAUAUCGGGAGGAACACCAGUGGCGAAGGCGGUUUCCUGGUCUGAUACUGACGCUGAGGCGCGAAAGUGUGGGGAGCAAACAGGAUUAGAUACCCCUGUAGUC